rnacentral:rRNA from 1 species
AUUGAACGCUGGCGGCAUGCUUAACGCAUGCAAGUCGAACGGCAGCACUGCAGAGCUUGCUCUGUGGGUGGCGAGUGGCGGACGGGUGAGUAAUGCAUCGGGACCUACCCAGACGUGGGGGAUAACGUAGGGAAACUUACGCUAAUACCGCAUACGUCCUACGGGAGAAAGCGGGGGAUCGCAAGACCUCGCGCGGUUGGAUGACCGAUGUGCGAUUAGCUAGUUGGUGAGGUAAUGGCUCACCAAGGCGACGAUCGCUAGCUGGUCUGAGAGGAUGAGCAGCCACACUGGGACUGAGACACGGCCCAGACUCCUACGGGAGGCAGCAGUGGGGAAUAUUGGACAAUGGGCGCAAGCCUGAUCCAGCAAUGCCGCGUGUGUGAAGAAGGCCCUCGGGUUGUAAAGCACUUUUAUCAGGAGCGAAAUCUGCAAGGUUAAUACCUUUGCAGUCUGACGGUACCUGAGGAAUAAGCACCGGCUAACUCCGUGCCAGCCGCCGCAGUAA